GAUUAACACAUGCAAGUCGAGCGAGAAUCGUUUAUUGAGGGCUUCGGCUGGAAAUAGAUGAGGAAAGCGGCGAACGGGUGAGUAACGCGUGGGCAAACUGGCCUUAAGAAAAGGAUAGCCCCCGGAAACGGGGAGGAAUACUUUAUGAGAAUGAAAGAGGGCAUCCUACUUUCAUUCAAAGCGCAAGCGCUUAAGGAUGGGCCCGCGUAUCAUUAGCUAGUUGGUGAGAUAACAGCCCACCAAGGCAACGAUGAUUGGACGGGCCGAGAGUGCGAACGGCCAAAUUGGAACGGGGGGACAGUCCAAGCUACUACGGGAGGCAGCAGUGGGGAAUAUUGCGCAAUGGAGAAGAACUCUGACGCAGCAAUACCGCGUGAGUGAAGAAGGUCUUCGGAUCGUAAAGCUCUGUUAUCAGGGAAGAAGAAAAUGACGGUACCUGAUGAGCAAGUCCCGGCUAACUACGUGCCAGCCGCCGCAGUAA
rnacentral:rRNA from 1 species